ACCUAGGUGGCUUAGCCAGUUAAGCAUCUGACUUCAGCUCAGGUCAUGAUCUCACGAUUUGUGGGUUCGAGCCCCUCAUUGGGCU
rnacentral:tRNA from 1 species